rnacentral:rRNA from 1 species
UACCAGGGAUGCAAGCGUUAUCCGGAAUUAUUGGGCGUAAAGCGUUUGUAGGCGGGCGAGUGUGUUUAAUGUUAAAUCUUAAAGCUCAACUUUGAAAUUGCGUUAAAAACUGCUUGUCUUGAGUAUGGUAGGGGUAAAGGGAAUUCCCAGUGUAGCGGUGAAAUGCGUAGAUAUUGGGAAGAACACUAAACAGCGAAGGCACUUUACUAGGCUAAUACUGACGCUGAGAAACGAAAGGUAAGGUAGCGAAACGGAUUAGAUACCCGUGUAGUCUUACCCGUAAACUAUGGACACUAAACGGUAAAUUUUUAAUUUACUGUUAAAGCUAACGCGUUAAGUGUCCCGCCUGGGGAGUAUGCUUGCAAAAGUGAAACUCAAAGGAAUUGACGGGGGCCCGCACAAGCGGUGGAGCAUGUGGUUUAAUUCGACGGUACACGAAGAACCUUACCAGGAUUUGACAUGCUAGAUAGUUGCUUGAAAGAGUAACGUGCCGUAAGGAAUCUAGACACAGGUGGUGCAUGGCUGUCGUCAGUUCGUGUUGUGAAAUGUUGGGUUAAGUCCCGCAACGAACGCAACCCUUGUCUUUAGUUAUUUUCUAAAGAGACUGCCUGUAAUAAACAGGAGGAAGGUAAGGAUGAGGUCAAGUCAUCAUGCCCCUUAUGUCCUGGGCUACACACGUGCUACAAUGGGAAAGACAAUGAGCUGCAAAUCUGUAAAUUUAAGCAAAUCUCUUAAACUUUCUCGUAGUUCGGAUUGUGGGCUGCAACUCGCCCACAUGAAGUUGGAAUCGCUAGUAAUCGCCAGUCAGCUAUAUGGCGGUGAAUCCGUUCCCGGGCCU